AGCGAACGCUGGCGGCAGGCUUAACACAUGCAAGUCGAGCGGGUGUAGCAAUACACCAGCGGCAGACGGGUGAGUAACGCGUGGGAACGUACCUUUUGGUUCGGAACAACACAGGGAAACUUGUGCUAAUACCGGAUAAGCCCUUACGGGGAAAGAUUUAUCGCCGAAAGAUCGGCCCGCGCCUGAUUAGCUAGUUGGUGAGGUAACGGCUCACCAAGGCGACGAUCAGUAGCUGGUCUGAGAGGAUGAUCAGCCACAUUGGGACUGAGACACGGCCCAAACUCCUACGGGAGGCAGCAGUGGGGAAUAUUGGACAAUGGGGGCAACCCUGAUCCAGCCAUGCCGCGUGAGUGAUGAAGGCCCUAGGGUUGUAAAGCUCUUCUGUGCGGGAAGAUAAUGACGGUACCGCAAGAAUAAGCCCCGGCUAACUUCGUGCCAGCCGCCGCGGUAACAC
rnacentral:rRNA from 1 species